GAGCAACUUAUCACAUGGACAGUGAGGUAAGCCCUGCAUCCCAACUGUGCACAAGAUGCAAGGGAAACACAAGAGAGGGAUCAAGGGCGGCUUUAGAGAAGAGAAGAUGCCUCAGCUCGAUGAAGAGUCCAGGGGGCACCCAAUGGAAGAGUGCACUCCAAGCACAGAGCAUGGCAUUUUCAGAGCCUGGAAGAAGUGAAACCUAUCAGAAGUGAUUGAAAUGGCCCAGAUCAGAGAUGGUUGAGGCCAGGACUAACGCAAUGGCAAUGAAGAGAAAAGAAAGAGGGCUGAUUUGAGAGAAAACAACACAAAAGACACUUGGGGAUUGAUUGGAUGUAAGCCUGGAGAUGAUCUAGAGGACAAAGAGGCAUCCAGAGGGGGAUGGAUCCAGAAAGUCAACAAAAAGCGACUUGAACUUCCCGAUGUAUCUGGCAGAGGCAGCCUUCUCACAGAAGUUACAAAUUCAAAAGGCUCCAAAGAUGCAUAUCAUGCCCAGAGGCAGAUGAAACACACUGCAUGGUCACUGAACCCAGAGGUUCUCCUGAAAAAGUGUAUUUCAGGUACCAGAAAGUCAACGUGAGUGUGUCUUGCCAUACUGCAGGUGUUGUAUCAUUUUGAACAAAUGUGUUCCAAAGAUGGAUGGGGGAAAGCAGGGCUGCUGAAGGGAAAGGGGGAGUGGUGGAGAUAGCAGAGUAGUGAUUAAGAUCUUGAGCAUGGACAAGGAUGCUAGAAGGAGCCCCAGAGUUAUUCUCCUUUGCUAAUUUCCCCAGUCUCAGUCAUUGUCUGGAAAUUCAAAGUACCACUGUGGCUCAAGAACCCUCAUUGUCCUGACAUGUGGAGCCUCCUGACUGCACCUGAAAGCACUGACCCAAGGCUCCCACCUGGGAUGAAAGGUGCAGAUGUCUCACCCAGCCAACAAGCCAGAUUCUCUGUGAGUGUCUCCAGAUGCAGCAAACUUGUUCAUCCCAAGUGCCUGCUCCAGGCGAGGUCUUGUAGCUCCUGAGGCACUUUCUUUUUUGUUAAAUAAGAACAAGCUAAUUGCUGUUCAAAACUUGAAUUUUUUGUUUACACUAAACAGACUUUAGGAUACAAAUUUCAUAGUAAAGGUUGAUUUAAAACCAUUAUAAUCUAAUAUUAGGAAACAACUAUCUACAGCUCUCCCACGUUUCUUCAGUCUUGCAAGCAAAGGCAUUGAUAGUCUUUUCUGCACUAUCUUUCUAAGGAUGUGUGCAUAGCAAGGAGCCUUAGAAGACAGGGUCUUCUCUUAGAAGAUAGGGUCUCCCUAGAGCAAAGAUCUGGUUGGUUUAUUGCCCACUGUAAUAAAGACAAUGUCUCCCUCUGGGACAAACGGAAGGCAUGUUUACCGCCCAUUAUAAAAGAGUUCAGGUCCCCAAGGCUCAGGGUUCCUUUCCCCAGGUUCCCCACAAUGUGCCUGCAUGUUUUACUGGGCCCUAUUCACAUCACCCUGUGGGAACUGAGGCUUGGGGAAAUGGCACAAAUGUUGAUAUUCUGGCUAUUGCUAUCACUAGAAGUAAUGAAGUCCUUUGUCUCUGACCCAGGAAUUUUGUGUCUUCUGCCAGCAUCCACGGAAUUGUGGCAAGGCAGCACAUUAGCUUACAAAUAGGGUAAUGUUUCAGUUCCUUCAUAGCUCUUGACACCUAAUAGCUGCCUAGGAAAUAAUAAUUUUGAUCAGGUAAUGUCCACCUCCCCUUCUCUUUUUUUUGGAGUUGGGGUCUUGCUCUGUUACCCAGGCUGUAGUGCUGUGGCGAGACCAUAGCUCACUGCAGCCUUGAACUCCUGGGUUCAAGCUAUUCUCUUGCCUUAGAAAUAAUGCUCUUCUUUACCAACUUUUCCAGUGCCAUUCUAUGCCUAUCUUUACUUAAGGUAUAUACUUUGUCUACUUCAGAAGGACUCAAUCCCAAUUAAUGUUUCCAAAUAUGAUGCAAGAAGACACACUUCAGACAACUGUCAUUUCUAUGAGGAGAAAAAGGGAAAUUUUUAGAGACUGAGAAAUGGCAAGGCAGAAAAACUCGAUGAUUUGCAAAGGCUGCCCACAGCAGGUGUAGCAGGUAGGACCUCAGCCUUGGGUAGAGUUGCUGAAAGAUUUUGUCCAAUUGACAAAAUGGUAUCAAGUAGCAGCAGUCAGGUGAGGCAGGGAGGGAGGCAGCCCUGAGUCAUAGAACCACAAGGAAUCUAGUUUCCUGCCAAUUCAUGAAACACUGAACUGGAGGCAUCCAAAAGGUUUAUGCAAGAGAACUAGCAUGCAGUGUUAGGCUGAUGAUGGACAAUAUUCCAUUGCUACCGUGCCAGUUGGAAAUAGGAUACCAGAUGUUUCUGAUUUCUGCUGUGUGGAUUAGAUAACCUCAGAGAGUCCCUACACCUGAAGGAGACUCAGAACAUCUUCCACAACGAAGAUGACAAAGACAGUCAACGCUAACAAUGAUGACAGCCAAAAGGACAAAUGGAUGCCCACAGGAAAAAUCAUUUAGACAAACUAAACAUUUCAUGAUACUCUAUGUCUAAAUUUUAUUUCCAGGUUUGAGGAUCAGGAGGCUACAGGAAUCGCCAUAUUUACCCAUACUUUAAAUGCCUGCAUCUGUGACAGGAAGUAUCAUUAACCUUUGUCAAUAAUGUCUGCUGGUGAGUAGGCCAUGGCCAUAUAGGCCGUAUAUAUCCCCAGGGCCAAACAAUCAGACAUUUGGAAAUACCCUGGAAUCCAAUUACAGGUAGAGAAAAAAAUCACUGUCAAACGUAUUUUUCCUUGACAUAAAUAAAAAUAAUAUAGUGUGGCAUCAUUUUCAAAUGUAUCUGUGAUGUAUUAUUUCUGUGUGCAAUAUGGAGAGUAUCAAGCUCAUAAUAAAAUACUGUAGACAUAAUUUUGCUUUCAUGGCUAGGUUAGUGGGUGAAAGCCACUUCUAAAUUCUUGACAGCUGCUUCCUUCCACUGGGAAAUGCCAUUUAUCUCCACCUGGCCUCAGGAGGGACUCGUUUACAAGAGGGAGCAAGGAGGGAACAUAGUUCUAGCUCUCUAGAGAAGGCAGCUUAACCCCGGGAUGCCCUCCAGGGACCACCAUCAACAUAUGGUUUUCAGAGUCUCAAUAUUUUAAGACCGACAUUACUCAUCCAUGACUGAGCCAUCUGCCUGGGACAAUCUUCCAUGGCUCAGGGAUCGGGAGUAACGGGAUGUCACGGGAAGCUGUGGAGGAGCCGGCCCGCUCCAGCAGAAUGAGCCAAGGUUUGGAGAGCCAGCAAAGAAUUGGACAGACAAUAUCGUUCCAUUAUAUCCAGUUCUGCUAAGGUCAUGGAGUCCGGCCUUGUUUAAAUUAAACUUUAUGCCAUAUUUAGUCAACCCUCCUAGAAUUAAAAGCUUAAUGCCUCUGCUGUCUUCAAUUGGCUAAGUCUACAUCAGGCUGUAAGCCAUAACACUUGACUAAAGCAAACAGUGCUAGCAGGAGGGUUAGUCAACACACACUGUGUAAACGCUGCUGAGAACCAUCCCUGUGUUAAUGUGAAAGAAAACGGACCCACAGUAUGCAGAGCAGGCAGGAAAACAGCUGAUGCUCAAGGCUGCAGUGUACAAUAUCAUCGCGCCUCUCCAAAUAAAGUGAAGAAGACAGAAUAUCUCCCAGGAGAGCUUGCCUGUCUGUACAUAAGGACGUACACACACACACCCACAUCCAACCAUGUGCCAGUAAUUUUUACAAUUUGAAUUAUUUUCCUUCUUCCAUAUUUACCUUCUAUUUUCACUAGGUCCACAUUUUUCUUUGCUUGCUGUAAUUAAUUUUAUUCUCCUUCAGUUUAAUUUAAACCAGACUAACAGUUCCUCGGGUAAGAACAUUCGAAUGUUGGUCACUUGAUUGGGCAGACCCACAUCUCAAAAUGAUAAAGUAUUAAAUGAAUAUUCCAGUAUUUAGGAUUAAAUGUUAAAGUAAAGCUUAUUUUCCAUAUUCUCCUUUUUCCAUGGCCAUACAUUGACAACUUUGAUGAAUCAUUUUGCUUUAAUAUAAGUGGCUCUGAAGACGUCUAGUUUGUUAGUGACCAGGCAGUUGCAGUCACAACCCCCCUCCCCCAACAAAGUGUACCCAUAGUUGCUGUCUCAGUAUUAGCCUGCAGGUUGAAAUCAUCACUACUGCCCUGAGGAAGCCUGUCUGAUGUUAACCUGUUCAUUUUCCCUCUACUCUCCCUGUACUCACCUUGGGGAUGGUGAGGGGUUCCUGGGGAGGAGGCAGACACCGUGAGAGCCUCUUGAGAGUCUGAAGAUGAGGGGCUAUGGCUCAGAGGAGCCAGGCAGGCUGGGGCUGCUGGCGAGGUCAGGUCCAAGGAGAGGUCGGCUCUGCCCCGGCUCACACUCCGGCUUCUCAGCUCCUUCUCGUGCUCCUCAGCUGCCAACUGUUCCAAGUAUUUGUAUCUGAAAGUUAAAUUCCAAAGGGUUUCCGUCAAACGAAAGAGGAGCCUGUGGCUGAUGCUUGUUUAUGGAUGAAACACCUGCAGAAUGAGCCGGUUUCCUGAUGCACACAGCACAGUGCAGGGCUGGCUGGAGAGUCAGCCUGCCAAAAACACCCAGCAAAGCCAAGAUGCUAAUGAUUAAAAAUCCCACGUCACUCAUAACCAAGCAAAUUGGGGGAAAUGGCAGCAUCACACAGUCCCUAGAUACUGGAUCACUGCUGCAGAAUCCUAUCUUGCUCUUUUAGGGAACAUUUGUAAAUAAGCAAAACAGCAAUAACCACCACCAAAAAGCCUCAAGAGUGAUGGCUGAAAACCAAACCCCCUCGGAGCUCACAGCUGUGAAAUGGGUGGGUGCCUUGGUGUGGCAGAGAGAAAAAAAAUGCCCCCCAUAUACCAAAGGGGGUUGCUUGGAUGAAGGCCUGCCUCUCUGAAUUUCUGAACCUGCUUCAAUACUAACAGCAAUGUAACUGGAAUUCACUUUGUUCUCUCAGUGCUGACCAUGGAAACUUUUUUUAUAUUCUAAAAUAUUUCUGAGUAGGAAUCAGACAUCCAAUAGCUUGAACCUGACGUCACAUAGAGUUUAUUCAUCAAAGUCAGUUUAAAAGAACAAAGAUACAUCUGUUUUGCAUUUCAGGCAGGCAGAACCCACUAACUGUUUAUUAAGACCAGCUACCAAUCAUAUUCCUCAUAGUGCGCUUUAUAGAUCAGACCAAAAUAACUUUGAAAUGUGUGCCUCUUCCAGAUGUCUGCUAAUUUUACUCACCAUUAUUUUUUCAGAAAUAAAUUUAUGCAUUCAGCUGUAACAGGUUUCUUACUAUCUUACCUACCACUAAACUUUGGAACAGCUUACUCAAGACGCUCACUUUGCAUCUAUCCAAUUCACUGCUUCAGUUCCUCACAAUGGGCAUUAGACAUGGUGUUCCUCAUUUACCCAGAUAAGAAAGGCAGAGCACAUAAUUAAAAUAUUUUAAAA
rnacentral:lncRNA from 10 species